GAUGAACGCUGGCGGCGUGCCUAAUACAUGCAAGUCGAGCGAACAGACGAGGAGCUUGCUCCUCUGACGUUAGCGGCGGACGGGUGAGUAACACGUGGAUAACCUACCUAUAAGACUGGGAUAACUUCGGGAAACCGGAGCUAAUACCGGAUAAUAUAUUGAACCGCAUGGUUCAAUAGUGAAAGACGGUUUUGCUGUCACUUAUAGAUGGAUCCGCGCCGCAUUAGCUAGUUGGUAAGGUAACGGCUUACCAAGGCAACGAUGCGUGGCCGACCUGAGAGGGUGAUCGGCCACACUGGAACUGAGACACGGUCCAGACUCCUACGGGAGGCAGCAGUAGGGAAUCUUCCGCAAUGGGCGAAAGCUUGACGGAGCAACGCCGCGUGAGUGAUGAAGGUCUUCGGAUCGUAAAACUCUGUUAUUAGGGAAGAACAAAUGUGUAAGUAACUAUGCACGUCUUGACGGUACCUAAUCAGAAAGCCACGGCUAACUACGUG
rnacentral:rRNA from 1 species